rnacentral:lncRNA from 1 species
CCCAAUAUAAAAUAACACAAAUCACUUAAUCGAAAACCCCCUACAUGGUGGAAACUAUUCUAGAAUUACACCCACAACUAUGCUACUCCCACAUUGUAUACCUAUUGUCACUCUAAAGUGUCAUGAAAAGAAAGAGGGUGAAGAAGGCCAGAAAUGCUUUAGUAGAGAAUGAUAGAGAGAAAGAAGAAGUUGAGGAAAUGUGCU